UACAGAGGGGGCAAGCGUUGUUCGGAAUUACUGGGCGUAAAGGGCGCGUAGGCGGCCUGUUAAGUCGAACGUGAAAUCCCCGGGCUCAACCCGGAAACUGCCAUUGAUACUAUCUGUCUUGAAUAUCGUGGAGGUAAGCGGAAUAUGUCAUGUAGCGGUGAAAUGCUUAGAUAUGACAUAGAACACCAAUUGCGAAGGCAGCUUACUACCCGAAUAUUGACACUGAGGCACGAAAGCGUGGGGAUCAAACAGG
rnacentral:rRNA from 1 species